rnacentral:rRNA from 1 species
UUCCAGACUCCUACGGGAGGCAGCAGUGAGGAAUAUUGGUCAAUGGGCGGGAGCCUGAACCAGCCAAGCCGCGUGAGGGAAGAAGGUCCAGCGUAUCGUAAACCUCUUUUGUCAGGGAACAAAGGCGGGGACUAGUCCCCGGAUGAGGGUACCUGAAGAAAAAGCAUCGGCUAACUCCGUGCCAGCAGCCGCGGUAAUACGGAGGAUGCGAGCGUUAUCCGGAUUUAUUGGGUUUAAAGGGUGCGCAGGCGGCACGGCAGGCCGGCGGUCAAAUCGCGGGGCUCAACCCCGCCCAGCCGUCGGAACUGCCGGGCUAGAGUGGGCGAGAAGUGCGCGGAAUGCGUGGUGUAGCGGUGAAAUGCAUAGAUAUCACGCAGAACUCCGAUUGCGAAGGCAGCGCACCGGCGCCCUACUGACGCUCAGGCACGAAAGCGUGGGUAUCGAACAGGAUUAGAUACCCCUGUAAC